CAGUCGCCACGGGAAUACGAAGGGGGCUAGCGUUGUUCGGAUUUACUGGGCGUAAAGGGCGCGUAGGCGGACUGAUAAGUCAGGGGUGAAAUCCCAAGGCUCAACCUUGGAACUGCCUUUGAUACUGUUUGUCUUGAGUUCGAGAGAGGUAAGUGGAACUGCGAGUGUAGAGGUGAAAUUCGUAGAUAUUCGCAAGAACACCAGUGGCGAAGGCGGCUUACUGGCUCGAGACUGACGCUCAUGCACGAAAGCGUGGGGAGCAAACAGGAUUAGAUACCCCAGUAGUCCCUGUCUCUUAUAC
rnacentral:rRNA from 1 species